rnacentral:lncRNA from 10 species
AGUUUUUACUGGGAGCUGAUCAUGAAGGUUUCCUCCUAGGCACUUUUGUCUGAACCACGUGGCACAAAUUGGCAGAGAACAAGGAAAAGAAGAACAGAGGAAGGAGAAAAGGAGAAAAGUCAUUCUGCUGAAAACGGGACUCUCUUCACAUGGCCUCUCCUCCAGCAUGAUAGCAGGUCUUUACAUGAUGGCCAGGGUCCAAAGGGCAAAAUGGAAGCUGCAAGAUCUCUGCAGACCUGGAUCCAGAACUGAGAACAGCAAGAUAGGAGCUGACUGAGUUGGCUUGGCUGUACAUAGGAGGAAGACCCUGAUCCCUGGUGCUCAACACAGAAAUGCUUCAAUGAUACCCUGAGAUUGUUUUACCUUGCAACACUCUCUGGAAAAUUGCUGCUCCAGGAAUGCGAUGAAAAGAUCUGUAAGAGAGCACAGCCCCUGUUGAUUGACUUGUCUUGGUCAAACCAGAGCUUCUGGCUGGGAUACUGGUAUCUUGAGUGAGUCACAGCAGGAGAUACGUGCUGGAGCUGAAGAGGUUGGAGAGGCAGCAGAAAAGGUAGGAGACAGCAAGAGAAGGAGAGCAGCCUACAGAUGAGAAGACAAGUAAUUUACCCUAAAGUUCUAGGACUGCUGUUGGUCAAAGGAAAAAUCCUUCUGAGAGAUUUUGAUUUUAGGUUUUGAUUCUACUUCUGUUUCUAUGAAUGCUAGAGAGAACAUUUACAACCAAGUGACCCCACCUGGACUCACGACUUGUGACUCAACCGGUCCUGCGGUCUCCCACCCAGAGGCAGAGUCAGUGCACGAGGACUGUUUUCCACACCCCUAUGAUUGCAUUCCCAACCAAUCAGAAGCACUUAUUCCCUAUUCCCCUGCCCACCAAAUGAUCCUUGUAAAACCCAAACCUUCAAGUAUUCAGGGAGAAUGAUUUGGGUAAUAACUCCAGCCCUUGUGCUCAGUGGCCUUGCAUUAAUUUAAUUCUUUCCCUAUUGCUAUACCACUGCAAUAGGGAAAGUCUUGGUGAAUAGGUUUUGUGUGUGCAGUGGCAGGAAGAACCUGUCAGUUGAUUACAAUCCCUCC